UGAUAGCUAUGAAGUUUGAAGUUACUACCCACAGAGGUAGAGAAUUCGGCGGAGCGAAUGUCAAGUUAGGAAACUGACGGCAA
rnacentral:ncRNA from 1 species